rnacentral:rRNA from 1 species
GAUGAACGCUAGCUACAGGCUUAACACAUGCAAGUCGAGGGGAAACGAUAGAGAAAGCUUGCUUUUUCUAGGCGUCGACCGGCGCACGGGUGAGUAACGCGUAUCCAACCUGCCCACCACUUGGGGGAUAACCUUGCGAAAGUAAGACUAAUACCCAAUGACGUCUCUAGAAGACAUCUGAAAGAGAUUAAAGAUUUAUCGGUGAUGGAUGGGGAUGCGUCUGAUUAGCUUGUUGGCGGGGUAACGGCCCACCAAGGCGACGAUCAGUAGGGGUUCUGAGAGGAAGGUCCCCCACAUUGGAACUGAGACACGGUCCAAACUCCUACGGGAGGCAGCAGUGAGGAAUAUUGGUCAAUGGACGAGAGUCUGAACCAGCCAAGUAGCGUGCAGGAUGACGGCCCUAUGGGUUGUAAACUGCUUUUAUAAGGGAAUAAAGUGAGUCCCGUGAGACUUUUUGCAUGUACCUUAUGAAUAAGGACCGGCUAAUUCCGUG